UGGCGCUCCGCGGGGAACCGCCGCGGCCCUGCAGGGAAACGAGCUGGGAGAGGACCGUCGGGACCCUUCCUGCCGGGGAGGAGUUGGUGUAAAUCGGUGUGUCUCCGCGUUCGGCCUUCCCGACUUCCUCCUGUCUGGCAGGAGUUGUUUCAGAUCAUCUACCAGCAAUGGAAGAGAACCACAAUAGACUGAUCAGGACUUAACGGUUGAUAAGAUGGCUCAACUAGUUACAAGAAAUUCAAUAAUAUUUUGCCUGAUUUUCUUCUUGCUGCAAGUUACCCCCCAAAUGUGUCUGGAUCGUGACAGAUGGAAAAGAAUCUUCUUCAGUGACCAGAAUCUCUGCC
rnacentral:lncRNA from 1 species